AACAAAAAUCUUUUUGCCCAUUCCUCUAGCAGGUUCCCUUCCAUACAUUGGACCUGGAUGAUCGUAUAAGGUAGGAGCACCAAGUGCAGCAUAUCUAGUAGCCGCAGAAAUAUAGGCAUUGACCAUAUCCACCAUGUGCCAUUCUUCCAACUGGCCUGAAAUCAUCUUCCUUAGGUGUUGCUCGAUCUACAACUACAGUAGAACCUCCCAAUUCAUGAGUAUCAGCCAUCAAACUGUCCACAGAAUCUGCACUAGAAAAUGUGAUAAAUCCAAUUCCACGAUGUGCUUUUGAGCUAUGAUCCUUUGGCAUGUACAGAUCUAUUAUAUCGCCAUAUUUCUCAAAAUGACUUCGAAAGGUUGUUUCAGUCACAGAUGGUGGAAUCCUUGCCACAAAUAUCCUUGUCACUUUCUUUGCUGGUGCUCUCAUCUCCUCCUUUGGUGUGGCCACUUUAACUUCCAGCAUUCUAUUGCCAAGAAA
rnacentral:misc_RNA from 1 species